rfam:Ipomoea nil DNA, scaffold: scaffold0302, cultivar: Tokyo-kokei standard.
CAUCGAGGUGAGGAUAAUCGAUUCGGAAAGGAUAUAUGUCGAUCGGAAAUACUUCCAGACUACAAUUAUCUGAUCGAUG